GCAAGUCGAGCGCGGGAAGCGAGCUGAUCCCUUCGGGGUGACGCUCGUGGAACGAGCGGCGGACGGGUGAGUAACACGUGGGCAACCUGCCUGUAAGAUCGGGAUAACUCCGGGAAACCGGGGCUAAUACCGGGUAAUACUUUCUUUCGCAUGAAGGAAAGUUGAAAGAUGGCUUCUCGCUAUCACUUACAGAUGGGCCCGCGGCGCAUUAGCUAGUUGGUGAGGUAACGGCUCACCAAGGCGACGAUGCGUAGCCGACCUGAGAGGGUGAUCGGCCACACUGGGACUGAGACACGGCCCAGACUCCUACGGGAGGCAGCAGUAGGGAAUCUUCCGCAAUGGACGAAAGUCUGACGGAGCAACGCCGCGUGAACGAUGAAGGUCUUCGGAUCGUAAAGUUCUGUUGUUAGGGAAGAACAAGUACCGUGCGAAUAGAGCGGUACCUUGACGGUACCUAACGAGGAAGCCCCGGCUAACUACGUGCCAGCAGCCGCGGUAAUACGUAGGGGGCAAGCGUUGUCCGGAAUUAUUGGGCGUAAAGCGCGCGCAGGCGGUUCCUUAAGUCUGAUGUGAAAGCCCACGGCUCAACCGUGGAGGGUCAUUGGAAACUGGGGAACUUGAGGACAGAAGAGGAGAGUGGAAUUCCACGUGUAGCGGUGAAAUGCGUAGAUAUGUGGAGGAACACCAGUGGCGAAGGCGACUCUCUGGUCUGUUUCUGACGCUGAGGUGCGAAAGCGUGGGUAGCAAACAGGAUUAGAUACCCUGGUAGUCCACGCCGUAAACGAUGAGUGCUAGGUGUUAGGGGGCUUCCACCCCUUAGUGCUGAAGUUAACGCAUUAAGCACUCCGCCUGGGGGAGUACGGCCGCAAGGCUGAAACUCAAGGAAUUGACGGGGG
rnacentral:rRNA from 1 species